rnacentral:lncRNA from 1 species
GGCAAGGGGGUUCGCCCGAACCCCCUUCGUCGGAAAAUUACACCGUAUAUAUAAGGUCAAAUUCUGUUUUCAUGUGUAUAUAUAUUAAAAUGAACCCCCUUAAUAUAAGUAAAGAGGCUGGCUCAGUGGUUAAGGGGGUUCAAGAAUUUGCCUGGACGCCUUGGGUUCGAUUCCGCACGGCAACACUUCUUUUUCUUUUCUUCAUUUAGAAAAUCAAAUAGCUAGGCUGAGAUGGGCUCAAUAUUUUUGGGCUGGAGCUUUAUUAUUAUUUUUUGGGCUUAUUUUUUUCAAUGUUAUUUCUCCUUUUCAAUAUUCAUUUGUUUGAAUAUAGGGAAUUAGGCACAUUAUUUUCAUUUUUUGUAUUUUAUUCUUUUUAUCUCUAUUGCUCAUUUUAUUUUUACGUAACUCUUUUUUUAUAUAGUAAUUCAAAGGAACUUUUUAAAAAACUGUCAAUUAUUCUUAAACUUGAAUUUGAGAUAGAGAAAAAAUAUUUUAAAGAUAAGUUACACUAAAUUUAAUCGAACGAACAAAUUUGAAAGGCAUGAUUAUUCAUGAUAUUUUUUUCUCAUUUUUUCAUUUCUAUUCUAGAGAGAUGUAAACUACAUUUAUUUGAUUAUUCUUCUUUUAUUUUUCACCGAUUGAAAACCUUAUUAAUUGAAUAAAUGAACAAAAAAUUGGCGAUGCCAUUUAUUUAUCCUUUUAAUAUGCAUUAUAAUAUUAGUAACUCAAUCCCCACACGUUUGUAAAGAGUAUCAAACAAUUUUAAAGUAACAUAUGAUUGAAUGAACACGAAUUUAAUUUAUUUUAAAAAUUCAAAAUAAAGUAAAACAAUAAAAAAAUAAAAGAAAAAAAAUCACUUUUUUAAAAAAGAAAAUCAAUGAAGCAGGGUAAAAGUAGGAAACAAAGUUAAACGCGGCUUGACAAGGCAAAUUAAAUUUAACAGAUUAAGGAUAAUUUUUUUCUUCCCCGAUUCGUUUUGCUCCAUUUUUUUAUUUACUUCUUUAUAUGUUGAACCCCCUCCACGAAAAUCCUGGCUCCGCC